CCAACGAGUUACGUUAAGUAGCAAGGUUAAGCACUUAAGGUGUGGAGCCGUAGCGAAAGCGAGUUUUAACUGAGCGUUCAGUUACUUGACGUAGACCCGAAACCGGGCGACCUACCCAUGAGCAGGAGGAAGCGAAAGUAAAAUUUCGUGGAGGUCCGAACCCACGAGCGUUGAAAAGCUCGGGGAUGACUUGUGGGUAGCGGUGAAAUUCCAAUCGAGCCCGGAGAUAGCUGGUUCUCCCCGAAAUAGCUUUAGGGCUAGCCUCAAGGUGAGAGAUACGGAGGUAGAGCACUGAAUGUCCUAGGGGGUAUUGCACCUACCGAAG
rnacentral:rRNA from 1 species